CGGACGGGUGAGUAAUGUCUGGGAAACUGCCCGAUGGAGGGGGAUAACUACUGGAAACGGUAGCUAAUACCGCAUAACGUCGCAAGACCAAAGAGGGGGACCUUCGGGCCUCUUGCCAUCGGAUGUGCCCAGAUGGGAUUAGCUAGUAGGUGGGGUAACGGCUCACCUAGGCGACGAUCCCUAGCUGGUCUGAGAGGAUGACCAGCCACACUGGAACUGAGCACGGUCCAG
rnacentral:rRNA from 1 species